rnacentral:rRNA from 1 species
UACGAAGGGGGCUAGCGUUGUUCGGAAUUAUUGGGCGUAAAGAGCUCGUAGGCGGUCUGUCGCGUCGAAUGUGAAAACCCCGGGGCUCAACUCCGGGCUUGCAUUCGAUACGGGCAGGCUAGAGUUCGGUAGGGGAGUCUGGAAUUCCUGGUGUAGCGGUGAAAUGCGCAGAUAUCUGGAGGAACACCGGUGGCGAAGGCGGCGUUCUGGACUGCAACUGACACUGAUAAACGAAAGCCAGGGUAGCAAACGGG